rnacentral:rRNA from 1 species
CCUACGGGAGGCUGCAGUAAGGAAUAUUGGUCAAUGGACGAAAGUCUGAACCAGCCAUGCCGCGUGGAGGAUGAAGGCCCUCUGGGUUGUAAACUUCUUUUAUAUGGGACGAAAAAGGGCCUUUCUAGGUCAACUGACGGUACCAUGUGAAUAAGCACCGGCUAACUCCGUGCCAGCAGCCGCGGUAAUACGGAGGGUGCAAGCGUUAUCCGGAUUCACUGGGUUUAAAGGGUGCGUAGGUGGGUCUGUAAGUCCGUGGUGAAAUCUCCGAGCUUAACUUGGAAACUGCCAUGGAUACUAUAGGUCUUGAAUACUGUGGAGGUUAGCGGAAUAUGUCAUGUAGCGGUGAAAUGCUUAGAUAUGACAUAGAACACCAAUUGCGAAGGCAGCUGGCUACACCAAUAUUGACACUGAGGCACGAAAGCGUGGGGAUCAAACAGGAUUAGAUACCCCAGUAGUC